ACCCGCACAAGCGGUGGAUGAUGUGGAUUAAUUCGAUGCAACGCGAAAAACCUUACCUACCCUUGACAUGUCCGGAACUUGCCAGAGAUGGCUUGGUGCCCGAAAGGGAAUCGGAACACAGGUGCUGCAUGGCUGUCGUCAGCUCGUGUCGUGAGAUGUUGGGUUAAGUCCCGCAACGAGCGCAACCCUUAUCAUUAGUUGCUACGCAAGGGCACUCUAAUGAGACUGCCGGUGACAAACCGGAGGAAGGUGGGGAUGACGUCAAGUCCUCAUGGCCUUUAUGACCAGGGCUACACACGUACUACAAUGGCCGGUACAAAGGGCAGCGACACAGCGAUGUGAAGCCAAUCCCGAAAAGCCGGUCUCAGUCCGGAUUGGAGUCUGCAACUCGACUCCAUGAAGUUGGAAUCGCUAGUAAUCGCGGAUCAGCACGCCGCGGUGAAUACGUUCCCGGGCCUU
rnacentral:rRNA from 1 species